AAUAGAUACCCAGGUAGUCCACGCCGUAAACGAUGAGUGCUAAGUGUUAGGGGGUUUCCGCCCCUUAGUGCUGCAGCUAACGCAUUAAGCACUCCGCCUGGGGAGUACGGUCGCAAGACUGAAACUCAAAGGAAUUGACGGGGCCCGCACAAGCGGUGGAGCAUGUGGUUUAAUUCGAAGCAACGCGAAGAACCUUACCAGGUCUUGACAUCCCAUUGACCACUAUGGAGACAUAGUUUUCCCUUCGGGGACAACGGUGACAGGUGGUGCAUGGUUGUCGUCAGCUCGUGUCGUGAGAUGUUGGGUUAAGUCCCGCAACGAGCGCAACCCUUGUUCUUAGUUGCCAUCAUUUAGUUGGGCACUCUAAGGAGACUGCCGGUGACAAACCGGAGGAAGGUGGGGAUGACGUCAAAUCAUCAUGCCCCUUAUGACCUGGGCUACACACGUGCUACAAUGGACGGUACAAACGGUUGCCAACCCGCGAGGGGGAGCUAAUCCGAUAAAACCGUUCUCAGUUCGGAUUGUAGGCUGCAACUCGCCUACA
rnacentral:rRNA from 1 species